rnacentral:lncRNA from 1 species
GAAUUUUUCAGAGGUUAUAUAAAUGCAAGGGCCCCAGUACAAGAGGUGGGCUUGCUGUUUGAGGUUUGUUAGUAGUUGGUGCUCAAAGAAUUAACGAGAGGAAAGAAGUUAGGGUCAGGGAUCUCUCCCCUCCUACCCAUCUUUCUCUCUUUCUAGUGAGCAGGGCCAAAACGGGGGUUGGCCUGGGGAAGGGUGGGGAAAAUAAGAGCUCACAAGGUGGCAGAAAUCAUACAUCUAACUAAAGGUAAGCAGAGAAAGUAAUUACUAUUAACCGACAAAAUUCCCAGGCCACUGCAGAGGUCUCAGGCACUCUGUGUAGUAUGGUAAUUGAAUGGCAUGUGUAAUAUGAGAAUAAUAACAGUAACAACAUAAAAGUAACUCGCAGAAAAACUUAAGCUUCAUGAGAUUGGCUUUGUUAUAGUGAACUAAUCUGAUUUUUAUUUCUCUUCAUCAUAGUCAGUGAGCAGCGGAGAAGGAAAAGUAGACCUUGCAAGGUAAAGCACGUGCGAGACGCUCUGUCCUUUUAUCUUACGCAAUGAUUAUUUCUGUUUCCAAUAAAACGUUAAUUAAAUUAUGGAGUGAAAAUAUAGAUAAGUCCUGUUGUUGUUGUUAUUUGAGACAAGACAUAGUUCUGAUUGGCCUAGAACUUGCUAUGUAGACCAGAUUGGCCUCAAACUAGCAAAGAUCUACCUCUGUCUCCUGGAAUUCUGGGAUUCAAGGUGUGUGCCUUGAAUAUUAUUUUCCAAGAUGUGUUCCUGGUACAUUCUCUUGACAUCUUUAUACUAUACCUGUUGCUCAAAAACACAAAACAAAAAUAAACAAGAAAGAAAGAAACGAGUCUAAAAGAAAGUGUACCAGAAAUGGUGAUUUUUCUGCUAAGACUAUGGGUGGAUUUUUGGGUUGGUUUGGUUUAACUUUUGCCUGUUUUUCUGUACUUUCAAAUUUUUAUGUUUUCAUUUCUAAGAAAAUGAAGCCAGGGUCAGCAAGAUGGCUCAGUGACUAAAGGGGCUUGCCCCAAAGCCUGAAGACCCACGUUCACUCCCUAGGACCCACAUGUUUGUGAACUGUGGCAUGUGUGCAGAUACACAUCAAAUAGUUAAAUGUAAUAAAAAUAUUUCAAAUAAUAGGAAACCAAGGAUGUUAGGAAGUUGUUUUUUAGUUUUUAUCAUGCUUUUAAGAAAAGGUCUCACUGUGUAAGCCCCAGCUAACCUGGAACUUGUUAUGUAGACCGGGCUCGACUUAAACUCAUAGAGAUCUGCCAUUCUCUGCCUCCCUUGUAUUAGAUUAAAGGCAUUCACCACCACACUUGAUCUAAAUUCCUUUAAACACCACAAAACAAUUCUCUCUUUGAAAAUAGUUUCCAGAGGCUGGAGAGAUGGCUCUGAUAUUAAGGGCACUGGCUCCUCCUCCAGAAGAUCCUGGUUCAGUUUCCAGCAACCACACAGCAGCUCGCACAUGGCUGUAACUCCAGCUCUAAGAGGAUCGGACACCCUCAUCACAGGCAUGCACACAAGCAAAACACCAAGGCACAUAAAAAAUUAUUAUUAUUAUUAUUAUUAUUUAAAAAGAAGAAGAAAGAAAAGAGUUUGUGGAACCUGGUGAGCCAGUGGUAGCAUACACCUUUAUUCCCUGCACUCCAGAGGCUGGUGGAUCUCUGUGAGUUCAAGGCCAACCUGAUCUACAGAACAAGUUCCAGCACAUAGUUUCUAGCUUAAAUAAGAAUUUUUUAAUAUGUCAAAAAACAUUUUACAUGUGUAUAUAUACACAUAUUUAUAGUUUAGUAAAUGAUUAAACAUAAAUUUCAUAUCUGAUGAGGUUAUUUGUAUUUUUCUAGAAAGACAGUAUUAGAAUUUUUACUAAACUAGAAAAGAAAAAAAACAUAUUAAUAAAGUCAUGAGGACCUAGAGAGAUGGCUCAGCAGUUAAGAGCACUGGGGGCUUUUCCAGAGAACCUGGGCUUGGUUCUCAGCAAACCCAUCCAGCAUUUCACAGCUGCCAUAACUUAGGGGAGUAACCUCCUCUUCCUGCCUCCAUAGACACACAUAGUCUUUUUGUCAAAUGAAGUAAUGAAAACAACUUUAUACCUACUCAUCAGCAGACAUCCGAAAAAUAGAGUAUACCUUGUUGGACAGACUAGG